rnacentral:rRNA from 1 species
UCUAUACUGCAGUCGAGCGGACAGAAGGGAGCUUGCUCCCGGAUGUUAGCGGCGGACGGGUGAGUAACACGUGGGUAACCUGCCUGUAAGACUGGGAUAACUCCGGGAAACCGGAGCUAAUACCGGAUAGUUCCUUGAACCGCAUGGUUCAAGGAUGAAAGACGGUUUCGGCUGUCACUUACAGAUGGACCCGCGGCGCAUUAGCUAGUUGGUGGGGUAAUGGCUCACCAAGGCGACGAUGCGUAGCCGACCUGAGAGGGUGAUCGGCCACACUGGGACUGAGACACGGCCCAGACUCCUACGGGAGGCAGCAGUAGGGAAUCUUCCGCAAUGGACGAAAGUCUGACGGAGCAACGCCGCGUGAGUGAUGAAGGUUUUCGGAUCGUAAAGCUCUGUUGUUAGGGAAGAACAAGUGCGAGAGUAACUGCUCGCACCUUGACGGUACCUAACCAGAAAGCCACGGCUAACUACGUGCCAGCAGCCGCGGUAAUACGUAGGUGGCAAGCGUUGUCCGGAAUUAUUGGGCGUAAAGGGCUCGCAGGCGGUUUCUUAAGUCUGAUGUGAAAGCCCCCGGCUCAACCGGGGAGGGUCAUUGGAAACUGGGAAACUUGAGUGCAGAAGAGGAGAGUGGAAUUCCACGUGUAGCGGUGAAAUGCGUAGAGAUGUGGAGGAACACCAGUGGCGAAGGCGACUCUCUGGUCUGUAACUGACGCUGAGGAGCGAAAGCGUGGGGAGCGAACAGGAUUAGAUACCCUGGUAGUCCACGCCGUAAACGAUGAGUGCUAAGUGUUAGGGGGUUUCCGCCCCUUAGUGCUGCAGCUAACGCAUUAAGCACUCCGCCUGGGGAGUACGGUCGCAAGACUGAAACUCAAAGGAAUUGACGGGGGCC